CCUCCCAGCCUCUCCGGCCCACCCCAGCUCUGCCGGCUAAACCUCAUCCCCUGGGUCCUCCUGUCUCCAAGGAGCCCCUGAGGAAGGAGGAGAGAACACUGGCCUGUGUGCUCAUUCCCCCCAGGAAGCACAUGCUACCUGCUCGCUCUGGUACUGCUCUGGAACACAAGUACACAGAGAACUCUGUCUGCCGGUGCUUGCGUGCCAGCGGCAGAGACAGACAGUAAAUGGAAUCGACCCGACAGUGACGUGUGACACAGAAGAUAGGACAGUGAGCACAGGGCAGGAGGAAUGCAGUUGUAAACUGGGUGGUCAGGCCAGGCCUUGCUGAGAAGGCGACAGUUAAGCAAAGACUUGAAGGACUUUUCUGGGCUGUGAGCUGCAGUAAUUUAUCCAAAGCUCACAGCAGCCCCGAGAGGCAGCUUGUUUGUAGAUGAGGACACCGAGGCUUAGAGGGUGAAGUUAUAGAACAAGGUGCUCAGCCAGUAAGUGGUGGACCCAGGAUUUGAGUCCAUGUCUGCUGAUUCUGAACCCUCACAGCUGGUGAAAUACGGAGGAUCUGCUGUGGGUGAUGGAUAGCCCUGAUUCCACGGGCCUGGGGGCAGGGAGUGGAAGUCUCGAGAUUUGAAAAAGCCUCCUGAAGGGUAGGAGGCCUGGGCUGCCGAGCCUGCGGACAGAUGGAUGCGCCCCCGGAUUCCGGUGCGAUGUGGGUGCCUGGAGACUUAAAGACACACCAGGAGAGGAACCAGCUGGCUCUCUGCAAAAUGGAGCAGCAGCACCAGCUCUCAGCGCAGCAGCGGGCAGAGCAGCGGAAUCUUCGAGAAAUCCACUCGCACCGUGCCAGAGGCAACAUUCUGAGAAUCACAGGGCCUUCGGUCUCGAAGGGACACCAUGAGGCAGGUGGCUCAGUGGUCAAGAGAAGGGCCUGGUACUUACAUGCCUAGGUUCCAAUCCUGUCUCCACCACAGAUGUGCUGUGUGACC